UACGUAGGGUGCAAGCGUUGCCCGGAGUACUGGGCGUAAAGCGCGUGUAGGCGGUGCCGCACGUCCGGUGUGAAAGCCCCGGGCUCAACCUGGGAAUGGCAGUGGAUACUGGCAAGCUAGAGUGCGAUAGAGGGGUGUGGAAUUCCCGGUGUAGCGGUGAAAUGCGUAGAGAUCGGGAGGAACACCGGUGGCGAAGGCGGGUCUCUGGGCCGAUACUGACGCUGAGGAGCGAAAGCGUGGGGAGCGAACAGG
rnacentral:rRNA from 1 species